rnacentral:rRNA from 1 species
ACAGCAGCAGCCGCGGUAAUACGGAGGAUCCAAGCGUUAUCCGGAAUCAUUGGGUUUAAAGGGUCCGUAGGCGGUCUUGUAAGUCAGUGGUGAAAGCCCAUCGCUCAACGGUGGAACGGCCAUUGAUACUGCAGGACUUGAAUUAUUGGGAAGUAACUAGAAUAUGUAGUGUAGCGGUGAAAUGCUUAGAGAUUACAUGGAAUACCAAUUGCGAAGGCAGGUUACUACCAAUUGAUUGACGCUGAUGGACGAAAGCGUGGGUAGCGAACAGGAUUAGAUACCCCUGUAGUCCCUGUCUCUUAUAA